GCGGUCACGCGAACAAAAUGGCUGCUGCUCCAGGUGCUUUCCCGGCGGUUGGCGAGUGAAUUAUUUCUGGUGAAAGUGGCAGUUAUUUACUGCAGAUGGCAACUGCGGCAGACCUUGAGCGACACCAGUGCGGAGGAGAGUAGACCCAGCAUGAACCUCAACAAGCCCAGCAUGGAGGAGAGUAGGCCCAACGCAAAGGAGAGUUGGCUGAGUAUGUACCUCGAGCAACACCAGUGCAGAGGAGAGUAGGCCUAGCAUGGACCUCAAGUGAGCCUAGCGUGGAGGAGAGUUAAGCCAAGUGUGGAGGAGAAUAGAUCAAGUGUGACCUCAAGCAAACCCAGCGGGGAGGAGAGUAGGCCGAGUGCAGAGGAGAGUAGGCCAAACGCAGACCUCGAACAUUUGUAAAACUGGAGCUGUGGAGCCAGAGCUUGGUAGUGGCUGGGGCCUAGUGUGAGCCUUGAUGGCAGCGUCCUCGAUUGGUGACUGGCAUUAGCAGUGGCCAGCGGCGAAGGAUGACGGCUGCGAGGAAUGGGGAGAGUGACAAUCAGCAAGUGGUGAGUGGCAGCGAAGCCUGGCAUGCCCAGACAGGUCUUAGCCCAGCAUGGAUGAAAGCAUGCCCAGCGUGAGGGAGAGAGAACCCUCUUGGAAGGUUUGGAGCAUCAUUAGAGCCACAGCUGAAGAAAGGACUGUAAUGUUUGACAUUGAGUCAUAGAAUCAUAGAGAUGUACAGCUUUAUUUCUCUUCUUUUUACUUUUAUGCUGAGAAGACUAUAGUGCUGCAUGUUAUUACUUAGUUACAGAAAUAGAGAAAUAAGAAAUAAGAUUUGUACCUGGGUACUUUGUACCUAAGAUGGCACCAUGUAUGGUGACAUUGUAUACUUUUCAUUGUAUUCUUGUACCCAGUACUUGAGUAAAUAUAACAAUAAAACCUAGAUCUAAAUCUUG